GGCUGUCUGGUAGCACUAAAGGAGGAGUUAAACCUAGCAGGUAAUUCUCAGAAACUGCACUUAAUUACCACAAUGAGCUGAAGUGCUCUGGGUGCCUACAGUGUCACUUUAAAGAUAAUGGAACAGUUAGGGUGUUAGGGUGGUAUUUGACCCUGUUCCCUGACUUGUUGAGCUCAACCCAUUUAACCCAUUACAUGUUUAGACAUAAUGCUCUAUUUAAACGUAUAGCUACAUGAAUUUGGGAAACAACAACCACUUUAACAUUAAUGGACUUAUUUCUCUAAAGUUUGGAUCUUUAACACAUCCAUCCCAUAAUUAUCUGUUCAUUAUCAGCAGACAAAUACCGAGCUCUUACUCAUUUCCAUGUUCUUUUAUUGCCUCAUAGUCCUCAAACUUUUGGGAUUCAUUUUCUCUUGAUGCUCGAUUUCUUUCAACAGUUUGGAAACA